GUGCCAGCAGCUGCGGUAAUACGGAGGGUGCAAGCGUUAAUCGGAAUUACUGGGCGUAAAGCGCACGCAGGCGGUCUGUCAAGUCGGAUGUGAAAUCCCCGGGCUCAACCUGGGAACUGCAUUCGAAACUGGCAGGCUGGAGUCUUGUAGAGGGGGGGUAGAAUUCCAGGUGUAGCGGUGAAAUGCGUAGAGAUCUGGAGGAAUACCGGUGGCGAAGGCGGCCCCCUGGACAAAGACUGACGCUCAGGUGCGAAAGCGUGGGGAGCAAACAGGAUUAGAUACCCUGGUAGUCCACGCCGUAAACGAUGUCGACUUGGAGGUUGUGCCCUUGAGGCGUGGCUUCCGGAGCUAACGCGUUAAGUCGACCGCCUGGGGAGUACGGCCGCAAGGUUAAAACUCAAAUGAAUUGACGGGGCCCGCACAAGCGGUGGAGCAUGUGGUUUAAUUCGAUGCAACGCGAAGAACCUUACCUGGUCUUGACAUCCACGGAAGUUUUCAGAGAUGAGAAUGU
rnacentral:rRNA from 1 species